rnacentral:rRNA from 1 species
ACCGCAUACGCCCUACGGGGGAAAGCAGGGGAUCUUCGGACCUUGCGCUAAUAGAUGAGCCUAAGUCGGAUUAGCUAGUUGGUGGGGUAAAGGCCUACCAAGGCGACGAUCUGUAGCGGGUUUGAGAGGAUGAUCCGCCACACUGGGACUGAGACACGGCCCAGACUCCUACGGGAGGCAGCAGUGGGGAAUAUUGGACAAUGGGCGCAAGCCUGAUCCAGCCAUGCCGCGUGUGUGAAGAAGGCCUUAUGGUUGUAAAGCACUUUAAGCGAGGAGGAGGCUUACCUAGCUAAUAUCUAGGCUAAGUGGACGUUACUCGCAGAAUAAGCACCGGCUAACUCUGUGCCAGCAGCCGCGGUAAUACAGAGGGUGCAAGCGUUAAUCGGAAUUACUGGGCGUAAAGCGCGCGUAGGUGGCCAUUUAAGUCAAAUGUGAAAUCCCCGAGCUUAACUUGGGAAUUGCAUUCGAUACUGGAUGGCUAGAGUAUAGGAGAGGAAGGUAGAAUUCCAGGUGUAGCGGUGAAAUGCGUAGAGAUCUGGAGGAAUACCGAUGGCGAAGGCAGCCUUCUGGCCUAAUACUGACACUGAGGUGCGAAAGCAUGGGGAGCAAACAGGAUUAGAUACCCUGGUAGUCCAUGCCGUAAACGAUGUCUACUAGCCGUUGGGUCCUUUGAGGACUUAGUGGCGCAGCUAACGCGAUAAGUAGACCGCCUGGGGAGUACGGUCGCAAGACUAAAACUCAAAUGAAUUGACGGGGGCCCGCACAAGCGGUGGAGCAUGUGGUUUAAUUCGAUGCAACGCGAAGAACCUUACCUGGCCUUGACAUACUAAGAACUUUCUUAGAGAUAGAUUGGUGCCUUCGGGAACUUAGAUACAGGUGCUGCAUGGCUGUCGUCAGCUCGUGUCGUGAGAUGUUGGGUUAAGUCCCGCAACGAGCGCAACCCUUUUCCUUACUUGCCAGCAUUUCGGAUGGGAACUUUAAGGAUACUGCCAGUGACAAACUGGAGGAAGGCGGGGACGACGUCAAGUCAUCAUGGCCCUUACGGCCAGGGCUACACACGUGCUACAAUGGUCGGUACAGAGGGUUGCUACACAGCGUUGUGAUGCUAAUCUCAAAAAGCCGAUCGUAGUCCGGAUUGGAGUCUGCAACUCGACUCCAUGAAGUCGGAAUCGCUAGU